rnacentral:rRNA from 1 species
AACGAACGCUGGCGGCAUGCCUAACACAUGCAAGUCGAACGAGACCUUCGGGUCUAGUGGCGCACGGGUGCGUAACGCGUGGGAACCUGCCCUUAGGUUCGGAAUAACUCCCCGAAAGGGGUGCUAAUACCGGAUAAUGUCUUCGGACCAAAGAUUUAUCGCCUUUGGAUGGGCCCGCGUUGGAUUAGCUAGUUGGUAGGGUAAAAGCCUACCAAGGCGACGAUCCAUAGCUGGUCUGAGAGGAUGAUCAGCCACACUGGGACUGAGACACGGCCCAGACUCCUACGGGAGGUAGCAGUGGGGAAUAUUGGACAAUGGGCGAAAGCCUGAUCCAGCAAUGCCGCGUGAGUGAUGCAGGCCUUAGGGUUGUAAAGCUCUUUUACCCGGGAUGAUAAUGACAGUACCGGGAGAAUAAGCUCCGGCUAACUCCGUG